rnacentral:rRNA from 1 species
GUGGGGAAUAUUGGACAAUGGGCGAAAGCCUGAUCCAGCCAUGCCGCGUGUGUGAAGAAGGUCUUCGGAUUGUAAAGCACUUUAAGUUGGGAGGAAGGGUAGUAACCUAAUACGUUGCUACUUUGACGUUACCGACAGAAUAAGCACCGGCUAACUUCGUGCCAGCAGCCGCGGUAAUACGAAGGGUGCAAGCGUUAAUCGGAAUUACUGGGCGUAAAGCGCGCGUAGGUGGUUUUGUAAGUUGGAGGUGAAAUCCCCGGGCUCAACCUGGGAACUGCCUCCAAAACUGCAUGACUAGAGUACGGUAGAGGGUAGUGGAAUUUCCUGUGUAGCGGUGAAAUGCGUAGAUAUAGGAAGGAACACCAGUGGCGAAGGCGACUACCUGGACUGAUACUGACACUGAGGUGCGAAAGCGUGGGGAGCAAACAGGAUUAGAAACCCCGGUAGUCC